rnacentral:rRNA from 1 species
GACGAACGCUGGCGGCGUGCCUAAUACAUGCAAGUAGAAUGCACAGUUUAUACCGUAGCUUGCUACACCAUAGACUGUGAGUUGCGAACGGGUGAGUAACGCGUAGGUAACCUGCCUGGUAGCGGGGGAUAACUAUUGGAAGCGAUAGCUAAUACCGCAUAAUAUUAAUUAUUGCAUGAUAAUUAAUUGAAAGGUGCAAUUGCACCACUACCAGAUGGACCUGCGUUGUAUUAGCUAGUAGGUGAGGUAACGGCUCACCUAGGCGACGAUACAUAGCCGACCUGAGAGGGUGAUCGGCCACACUGGGACUGAGACACGGCCCAGACUCCUACGGGAGGCAGCAGUAGGGAAUCUUCGGCAAUGGACGAAAGUCUGACCGAGCAACGCCGCGUGAGUGAAGAAGGUUUUCGGAUCGUAAAGCUCUGUUGUAAGAGAAGAACGGGUGUGAGAGUGGAAAGUUCACACUGUGACGGUAUCUUACCAGAAAGGGACGGCUAACUACGUG